UUUCGCAAUGCCCGAAAGGGUGACGAAGCGACGCCGCGUGCGGGAAGAAGGCCUUCGGGUUGUAAACCGCUGUCGGGAGUUAAGAAAUGCAAGGGUGUUAACAGCAUCCUUGCUUGACUAAGGCUCCGGAGGAAGCCACGGCUAACUCUGUGCCAGCAGCCGCGGUAAUACAGAGGCGGCAAGCGUUGUUCGGAAUUAUUGGGCGUAAAGAGCACGUAGGCGGCUAUGUAAGUCGGUUGUGAAAGCCUUCCGCUCAACGGGAGAACAGCAUCCGAUACUGCAUGGCUUGAGUGCGGGAGGGGAGAGUGGAACUUCUGGUGGAGCGGUGAAAUGCGUAGAUAUCAGAAGGAACGCCGGCGGCGAAAGCGGCUCUCUGGCCCAUAACUGACGCUGAGUGUGCGAAAGCUAGGGGAGCAAACGGGAUUAGAUACCCCGGUAGUCCUAGCCGUAAACGAUGGGCACUAAGUAGAGGGGU
rnacentral:rRNA from 1 species